AGGUGUUUAUAUUGAUUCUCUCCAGAAACACAAGAUCUGCCACAGCCAAGCAGACUCCUGAGUCAUUACAGCAGCAUCCUGACUCCAGGGGUGCUUCAGAGGAAGAGGAGGGGAGGAGGCAUGUUGCCAGCUGCUCCAUGUCCUUUGGAGAGAAUCAUCUUCCUGAUUUUGGCCUGACCAUGUCCUGACGCAUAGCUCGUGACUGCUCAGUAACCUUUCUCAGCUCCAAAGACUUAUCCCAUUUCCCUUUUCACUUUCCAGGUUGGAAGAAGCUUGGUGUCCAUGUGUGUUUGCACUGCUGCUCCAGACAGACAGUGGGACCAGCCUCUUGGUCCUGCACUCUGGACUAAAGCCAGCGUGGUCAACAGAGAUACUGAUCAUCUGUAAAGGAGACCUGCAAACUGGAUUUGCCCAGGGAAAGUUUGGAAAGUGGUCCCAGCUAAAACACUUGGAUAAGCAUGGCUGUGACACCUCACACCACAGCGUGGAUUUUGUUUCCUGCAGAUGCCACCACAAAUGCUGUUAUAGUCCCCAAAAUAUCCAUCCCUCAAAUGCUGAGACAAUCCUCAGCCUUUCAGGAAAAAGCCGUUUGCUCAGUUGGGUCCAGAAGCUUUGACAGACUCCUGCUGGCAGUGGGCAAACCUCAGUCCAAGACAGGAAGACCAACAUCUCUGUAAAGCAUCUAGAGACUGGGAAAAAGAAAGAAAAAAGGAGAUGAGGGGAAAGAAAGGAAGUAAUGUCUUCCUGCAUCUGUGGCACAAACACUGAUGCCACAUCAGAAGAAAUGGGUUCUUAAAAAGAUCCCCUCCUGCUCUUUAUAAAUAUCCCUUCUUUCCUUCUUUUUACCAUUUUUUUAAAGAAAAGGCGGAAAAAGAAUGCAGAAAAAAAGCCUGCCAUCCAGACAGUGGUAUCCUUUGAAUAGCAAAUCACAAAAAAAGUUGUUUUUUUUUUCCUUUCAGUGAGGGGGUGGAGUUGAAGUGUUUGAAAUCCAGGCCAAAGGAUUACUUCACAUUUCUUCUAAGGAAUGAAACCUUUAAAAAAAAAGAAGGGUCUAUUUUGUAUUACUCAGCAGUUCUUCUUUCUUAUUUUCUUCUGUGGAAAAUUGUUGGUUUUUUUCGCUAAUAAAGUGUUUAUUACGCAGUCCUGCACACUCACACAUCCACACACACACAAGCACAGAGCUCUUUAUAAAGAGAAAAUCAGGCUGGCGCUGCAGAAGCGCAGAGAGGAUCUUUCGCUAAAAUGAUCUCAAGCAAACUGCAUGAGGAUGGUGUAGACAGAUGCCAAAAAAGAGGGGCCCCAUCAACCCAACAGGCCCUGCUGUGAAUCACCAAAGCACCAGGGUGGUUAUCUGCUCCUGGACAGUUUUAAAUUGUGCAAGAACCAGGCAGUCUCAUGAUCAAAUGAGUGCUUGAAUGAAUGUGUGCUUGAACUCUAAGGACUUUUGCAAUGCCUGGACAGACCAUUCUUUAAAGGAGUUUUGAUUUCUUCAAGUAGACAACAUGCUUUCGCAGCUCUGCCUUUGUGCAUCUGAAGAUACUAAAGAGAGUGAAGUUGUCUCCAAGCUACUUUUGAAGAGGAAAACCACUCGCCAGGCUUGUCCACCAUUGAGUUGCAUUUCACCCCGGCUGGAAGGCGACAGGGCACAUCUGUAUUCUUCCUAUUCUAUGGGACCCCAGCUCAGAAGGGGGCAACGUGGAAAUGUGAGCGGCUACCAAGAGCUUUCUGAGAUCUAAUGAAACAGUGCAACUGAAAAAACGGGUGGGAGGGCAAGGGGGUGAGCAAGGAAUAAAUAAAUAAAUAUAUAAAUUAGUGAGCAAGCAAGCCCCAAAACAAUGGGAAUGCAGCAUUCUUCCCCAUUCAUUCAGCUGACAGUGCUUUUGCAACUUAAACCUGUUUUAUUAAUUAUGUUUGACAUUUCCUUAAUUAGUUUCAUUUACAUCCCAUCAGCCCCUACCAGACGAUUGCCCCAUACAUCAUUUCACCAGAGGACUGAGAUGCCUACAGAAUUACAAAAUCAACCCCGCCAAUCCUCAGUAACUCAUCACUGUAUAUUUCACAGAUUUUGAGAAUUAGUCUUUUCACCUCCUAGUUUUCCUUAAAAAAUAUACAGAUAUUUCAUCACCUUUUUAAAAUUAUUAUGACAUUUUCAAAGGAACGUGAUGCUUGACUAAAUUUCUAUUCUGCUUCUAUGCACACAUUUUGCUUUGGUUUACAGCUCCUAUAGAUGUUGACAUGACAAAAUGUGGACUUUAAUGUUGGAUCCCAUUCUCUGGACCCUGUCCUGGCUCCACUGAGCCCAGUCUGCCCCAGUGCUUUCCCCAGUUAGCUCUGCACACUCACGGUAGCUUCCUUUAAAUUAUAGGUAGGUUCCUGUUGUCCCCACAGUUGCUAUGCAGUUUUCUAUAUAUUGAUUAAUUGCCACAGACAGCUUGACAGAAUUUAGCAAGAAUUAAAGGGUUGUUUGGCUGUUUCAUGCCAUUGCUCUGACUUACCUGUGUUUGUCCUACUUUUCUCUCCAUCCUUUCCCUGGGCUGGUGUAUGUGCUGUCACUUUGCACGUUGAGUAGUCAGAGACAGGGAUACCAUUAGAGCCAGACAUUUUAAAGUACAUAAUAUUUUAGACUCAGCUUAAUGAGUUGCUCGUUGCUAUAACGAACAGUGAAACUGGGAGAGACAGAGCCCUGUGCCUCAUGGUGGGGCUGCUCAGAGAUCUCCAGGCUGAUGCAGGUCAGAGUUUAUCACAAAGACAACUCAGUGCUUUCAGUCUGGAAGCUGAACAGCCAAAAAUCACGCGGUGCUGCCUCAGAAGACCCCGAGUCUCCUGUCGAAGCAGCUAGUCCUGCACACCCAACCCAAGAGCCACCUGGCAGGACCUGGACCUGCUGCUUGGGCUGUCGGAUGCUUGGUGCAGAACCCAGCUCCUCUGUCCAGAACUCAGCACACAGCGACUGACCUUUCCUGGCUAGGGUAAACUGACAACCUGUUUUUGCUAAUCCCAGAAUGUGUGACCAGGAGCUGUCAUUUUGGAGUCAUCACACUCUCUGUUGAUAACAGUGAAGUUAAUCAUGCAGAAGGAAAAAAAACCCUCAUAUUAAAGCAGAUAAUUAUUCCCUAGUUCCUGAAUAACACAUGCAAGGGAAAUUGAUUCUUAUUGUCUUUGUAAACUAUGAUACUUCAGCACAUUUUCUGCUUAGUAUAGGUGCUUAGGAAUCCUUUGUCAUUUACACUUCUUAGACCAGGAUUGUUGUGCUGUGUAGCUUCUGGCUACCCAGCACAUGAAGAAAGGAGAGAUUUCUCAGUUGUGGACUGCUGUACUUCAGAGACAGAGCCCAUGCUCAUUUUGUAACAUAAAAAAAUGGCACUGUGUGAGCUUAUCGAUAGUAACUAACCUGCUUAUCUUGAUUGCUUUGAGAAGUUCAUAAUCUAAUUAAAAAGAUAGCUGAGGAGAAGUUGUCUCCAUCCAACCACCUACCUGUCCUUGUAUGGGCAGUCCAGGUUUCUGUGUAACAGCACAGUGUAGGAUCUUCCAGUUCAAGCCCUCCCAAUACAAGUACCAGAUGGACUUACAAGCUGCAAUAAGAGAAAUAUUCAUGCAACAUAUGGAAAUAUAUUAAAUAAAGGAAACACAGUCAAAGAAA